rnacentral:rRNA from 1 species
AACCAGCACCUCAAGUGGUCAGGAUGAUUAUUGGGCCUAAAGCAUCCGUAGCCGGCUCUGUAAGUUUUCGGUUAAAUCUAUACGCUCAACGUAUAGGCUGCCGAAAAUACUGUAGAGAUAGGGAGUGGGAGAGGUAGACGGUACUCGGUAGGAAGGGGUAAAAUCCUUUGAUCUAUCGAUGACCACCUGUGGCGAAGGCGGUCUACCAGAACACGUUCGACGGUGAGGGAUGAAAGCUGGGGGAGCAAACCGG